rnacentral:rRNA from 1 species
CGCCUUGCGGAUCCGCGGCCGCUGCAGAGUUUGAUCCUGGCUCAGAUUGAACGCUGUCGGCAUGGCUAAAACAUGCAAGUCGAACGAGAACCUCGCAAGAAGGGACAGUGGCGGAAGGGCGAGUAAUGCGAUCGUACGUACCCCGAGGUGGGGGAUAGGUCGGGGAAACCCGGCGUAAUACCCCAUGAUCUCCCCGGAGCAAAGGUUUACCGCCUUGGGAGCGGCGAUCGUCCUAUCAGCUAGUUGGUGAGGUAAAGGCUCACCAAGGCGAAGACGGGUAGCGGGUUUAAGAGCACGGCCCGCCGCAUCGGGACUGAGACACUGCCCGGACUCCUACGGAAGGCUGCAGUAACGAAUAUUCCGCAAUGGGCGCAAGCAUGACGGAGCAAUGCCGAGUGCAGGAUGAAGCAGCUUCGCGUGUAAACUGCUGUCAGGAGUCAGAAACACUGAUCGACCCCAAAGGAAGAAGCGGCUAACCCUGUGCCAGCAGCCGCGGUAAUACAGGAGCCUCGAGCGUUAAUCGGAAUCACUGGACUUAAAGGGUGCACAGCAGUCCGAAAGUGUCCUGUAAAUCCCACGACUCAACCUGAACCCGGGCAAACUUCCAACUUGAAGAAUAAAACUUUAAACAUUAGUGACCCUGAAUCCUAAAAUUCAUACCAAACCCCAAAUUAAAAAAA